rnacentral:lncRNA from 1 species
GUUGGGAAUUUUUUUAUAGGAUUAACUUUCUUCAUGCAAUAAGGGAGGAAAAUGUUGUAGCGCUGGCUAGGGAGGGACCCUAGUUCUCGGAGGAAAGAUUCUGGGUCGAAAAGGCACUGAAGAUGGUGGAGUGAAUGGCGGCAGUGGAGUGGUUGCACUGGUUAUGGAAGACCUAAUCUGAUUUCUUGUAUUUGGGUUUCGGAAUAUGCUAUUUUUUACUCCGAUGAUGAUACACUCUCUAAGGAAAUUUACAGUCAAUUCAAGCAACUAGUUUGUUGUAGGUUUUUAGAGAGGUCUAUCAACUGGAUUCAUGGCUUUGGGGUUUCAAGGGAGAAACUGUUGUCGCUUGGUUUUUUCUGCUCAUUUUUUUU